rnacentral:misc_RNA from 1 species
GAUGAAGAACGCAGCGAAAUGCGAUACUUGGUGUGAAUUGCAGAAUCCCGUGAACCAUCGAGUCUUUGAACGCAAGUUGCGCCCGAAGCCAUUAGGCCGAGGGCACGCCUGCCUGGGCGUCACACGUCGUUGCCCCCCCAUCUACUCCUUCGGGAUUGCGGGGGGCGGAUGAUGGCCUCCCGUGCGCCUCGCCGCGCGGUUGGCAUAAAUGCCAAGUCCUCGGCGACGCACGCCACGACAAUCGGUGGUUGCGAAACCUCGGUUGCCCGUCGUGUGCGGUCGUCGCGCAUCGAGGGCUCGAAAAAAUUGCCGGGUUCCGGCUCGGCUUUCAACGCGACCCCAGGUCAGGCGGGGUUACCCGCUGAAUUUAAGCAUAUCCAAUAAGCGGAGGA